ACACCCACUAAUAACCCCGCCCAUAAGGCAGUGGGCGGUGUCCGUGCGAGUUACGUGCCCCGCGCCGCCCCCGACGGCUCCGCCCACAGCCCUGGCGCGCCUUCCUGGAAGCGCCCCACGCGGACGAGCCUCUCUUCUUUCCGCAGCUGCUCCAGUGCCUUUGCUCCCCGAGCUCUUGACUUGGGCCAUCCGAGGUCACCUCUGGGCGCCUGCUGAGGCCUAUUUCCUCCUUGGAACAAGGUGGCAAAUGGUCUGUUGGAAAAAGAGCCAGCGGAGGUCUACUAGAGUUCACUGAGCGGUUAUUGAACGUCUACUGGGUGCCAGCACUGUUCCAGGCGUCGAGGGCAGGUAUAGGCUUGUGAUUAAGAGGGACAAAGUCGAUCCCCACGAUGUUAUGCGUGCCUGGAAUCCCAGCAUAGAGGAGAAUGAGGCAGGAAAAUAAUGAGUCUGAAGGAGUAGUGUGCUCUUGCCUUGGAAUACAAGAGGGACAAAAUUCCCAGCCCCCUUGCAGUCAACACAACACAUCGAUGAGUAAAUUAUAGUUCAGAAGACUGUAAAUGUGUACAAGGAAAAAAAAAACCAGGAUUUAAAAAAGGUGGAUAGUAACCGAGUUGUUAUUUUAAUUUUAGAAUGCUAGUCCCCGUUUGUAAUUAUUAUCUUUGAGACUACAUAGCUCUCCCUAGUCCGAAACUUGUUAUAUAGACCAAGCCCGCUUCGAACUCACAAAGAUCCCAUCUGCCCAAGCCUCCGGAGUGCUGGCUUUAAACAUGUGCCCGCCAUUCCCAAACCCCUUCGUGAGCGUCUCCUGUUCUGUAGGGAAUACAGAACUAAACAAGUUCCCACCUUUGGGGGUCUCCUCGAAGCUGAGACCUGGGCCAGCAAUGUAAGGAGCCAGAACUUAAGGGACGAGGAAAUAUGGAGGUUGAGGGUGGGGCUCAGGUGAGGGAAGGUAGAGGACAUCUAGGCCGCUAAAUCCAAGGCAGCUGCGUUAACAGCGGUUUCCCCGCUUUAACCCCCAGCCUUCAGAAUGUUUCUUGGCACACACUCCACAUUGAAGACAUACUUGUUGACUGAAUACCACGUGGGAAAAACAAGAACGAAUGAUAAAUUUAGACCCCAGUCAAAUCCUAAGCAUGUGGUGCUCUUGGUUUACCGUGAGAGAGUCAACUCCUGUACGACCGCUAGAGGGCAGCCCUCCACCCAACCGCGUGGCACAAAAGAGAGGAGGCCUCCUGCCGAGUUUCUGAGACUCCCCUAGCCGCCGCCUUCCCUGAUUUACAAAGAUUGAGAAUUUGGGGCCGGCAUGGUGGCGCACGCCUUUAAUCCCAGCGCUUGGGAGACAGAGGCAGAGCAAGUGGAUCUCUGAGUCCUAGGCCAGGUACAUAAAAGACUUCGUCUCAGUAACAAAACCGAAUGACAAGAAGAUUGAGCACGUGGGACUGGAAAUCUCGCCCCACUGGGUUUGUUUUGUAGGUGGGCUUUGUGCUUAUUACUUCUGAUUUCCAUCUACAUCUGGGCUCAAAUAUCCCAAAGGAGCUUUCCUUUCUGCCUACAUAGCCUCACGCAAGGACUUGUCUAGUCACCCUGAUAGCUUCCCUUGCAUAGCUCUGAUUGUGAUAACAUCUGUGCUGGUUAGUUUUUUGUUUUUUUUUUUUGUUUGUUUGUUUGUUUUGUUUUGUUUUCUUCUCAACUGUGAAUUUGUACCCUUCAGACUGGCCUGUAAGGCCGGUCUGGAGGUCAUUUUCUCGACGACUGAUUGGGGUGGGAAUGCCCAGCCCACAGUGGUGCCACCCUGGGCAGGUGGGUAAUCCUGAGUUCUAUAAGAAGGAAGGCUGAGUCAGCCAGUAAGCGUCCUCCCUCACCAAUCCCUGCUUCGGUUUCUGUGCUGAUAUAGUGUGACCGGGGAAACGGUAAGCCCAAUAACCCCUUUCCUUCCCAGGCUGCCUUUGGUCUUGGCCUUUAUCACAGCAAUGGUGGGAUGGCGUCUGAUAUUGUCUAACCAGUGUAUGUAUUGAUCUGACACCCCCCCCCCCCUUAGAGUUUGUAUACAAACAGGUUUACUGAAUAAAAUAACAGACUCCCUUGAUUCAAGGAAACGUCUAGCUGGAGAGAGGGCCUGAGAUCUGGAGGUUAAGGGUCUUGGAAGACAGAGAGGGAGGUCUACUGAUUUAGAGCAAUGAAGAGAUCUGGCAGUGGUGGCUAAAACCCGGCCUUUGAGAUGGGGAGAGUUUGCUUGUGGCAACAUUGUAACCUCUCUUCUCUGACUCGCAUCAGCCCAUUAGUAGAGAUCAGAGAACAAAACAAAAAACUCAGCAUGUAGUUCUGGGUUCAAUUCUUGCACCAAAAACCAAGGCAGACAAAAAUAAAUAAAUAAAUAAAUAAAUAAAUAAAUAAAUAAAUAAAUAAAAAAAAAUAAAAAUAUCCAGACCAAGGGUGGAGGAAGGGCUCUAAGCACAGCCCCUGGCUUCAGAGUAUCGAAGGAUCCACAGUAACCUUUUAUCUCCUUUACCAGAUCCAGCUGGGACCAUGAGUCCCAGCAAAACCAUUGAUACCGGUACUUCAACAGGUGGAAAACCCGAGGCUCCCGCGAGAAAGCAGCCUGCUAAAUAAACAGGGUAGGCAGGCGGGGAGGAUUGGACCUCAGGCUUCUUGAGCCCACCUUACCUUCAAGCAACCAUAGGGCUCCCUCAGGUGGUCAGAAGAGAGCCUGCUGACCAAGGAGCCGGAAGGAUGCUUCCCAGUGAUCCAGAAAGUAGCUAAGAAGAUGGGAUGCCCCGGCCUGGCAGUGGGGUGUGGAAUUGUACUGACCUCUGGAGCCUCAAAUGCCAUGUGUAGAAAUCAGGUAUAAAGAGUCUUUCUGAAAGUUGGGUGCACAAGACAGAGUACAUACCAGUUUGGCCCAGCCUCUAGCACACAGUAGGAAGCAGCAAUACCUACAAAAAGAAUCAGCUGUUUGCUGCUCAGAGGCUAAAAUCGGGGAAGACAACCGAGGCCGGAAGUAAAUCCGAGAUCCAGUGCGGCAUUAGUGUGCGGAUAUUUUUAUCCAGACACCCGUCCAUCUGUCUUGUGUCCAUUCUGAGCUGGUGAGUCUAUCAGACUCCUUUUAGAAGUCCUGAGUCAGGACUGACCACACCAAGUUCAGGGAGGAAGUUGGGUUUCUCGGCUCCCUUGAAGAGAUCUCAAAUCCAUUUCUUUUUCUUUUCUUUUCUUCUUCUUCUUUUUUUUUUUUAGUUGGUGUCUCUUGCCUUCAGCUGCUGUUGCCAAAUUCCCCUUGCCUCCUCCAGUCUGGAGCUGGGCCAUUUCCAGGAUCAUUCUUUUGUAUAAUUAAAAAGAAAAAUAGAACGGUUGAUGUUGCCAAACACGUAUUUAAAGUGACACUCUGAACCGAGGGAGUGAAAAAUCAAAACAUUCUAAGGUUUAGAUUAAAAGUCUCCAUCCUCGGCAGUCCCUGACCCUGGGAUUUCUCUGGAGCCUGGCUGCCUUUAAUCCUUUGCCCUGGCUCAUAAAAACCCUUUGGACUAAGGGUAUUUAUUUCUCAGAGAACUAUUCCAGGCUAAUCACAUAAAAAUACCCUGCUUCCCAGGAACACCCUGUCUAGUGCAUGUCCUGGGAACAGUGGAGUAUUCGGAAACAGUCACCUGAGGAGACACCCAAGUCCUCCUUCCUUCACUUCAUCCUUCCUUCAUGUAUCCGUUCCACUAGAAAAGUCUACCAGGCAAUUGCGGUCCUCAACAUUUCCUUAGGAUCAGAGCUCUUCCCUCCAGCUCUCUCGUGUCCAUGGUAUCUAAGGGACUGUCAGGAUUCACUCGGAUGUCAGUGGUCACUUGGUCACUUGACCAACUCUUCGUGGCUCUUUUCGAUUAUCCUAGAACCCACUCUGUAAGAGCAAUCGGAAAACCUUUCUAAAAGGAACAACUUGCCAGGAGUAGCACCACACUCAUUUAAUUCCAGCACUUGGCGGGGCUCUGUGAGUUCGAGGCCAGCCAGGAAGGGAUUUGUUGGCCAGCCAACUGAUUGUGUCCUUUCCAUGGUGCUUAGUGUAUAAAUUGACUUUUAUUUAUUGACUUUUCUGCGUACUGAGAAGUCAGAAUGAAGCUGCAGGGUUAAAGUAACUAAAGAUUUGGCUCGUUCUGGAGGCUCUCGAUGAGGGAAAUCCUUUUCCUUCCCUCUUUCGCCUUCUGGUGGAUUCCCAUAGUCCUCGGCUUGUGGACUCUCCCCCCUUCAGUGUUCAAAGCACUCACUGAUCUUGCUUUCCAUUGCUUUUUCUGCCUCUCCUGACUACUUCCUGACCAGAUACUUACGAUCACUUUGGCCUCACCUGGACAGUCUUCCCAUUUCAAGAGCUUCGAUUUCUAUCACUUCUGGAAAGCCUUUCCCAGCUAAGAGACUAUGGUCACAGACACACCAGAAGUGGGCAUCGGAUCCGUUGUGAGCCACCAUAUCAGUGCUGGGAAUUGAACUCAGGACCUCUGGAAGAGCAGUCAGUGCUCUUAACCGCUGAGCCAUCUCUCCAGCCCGAAACUGUACCUAUUGAGCCAUCACCCCAUCUACCUUUUGUACUGAAUCUCCAGCUCAUGAGCCCACGCCCCAUCCUCCGGAAUGUCUUUCUGAAGCUUGACCUUCGAAGGCUGGGCUAGCCCCAAACUCACAGAGACCUCUGAUUAAAGGCUGUCCGUGCCUCAUUCAUCCGGCAAGAGGGCAGCAGCUGGGCCCCAAACCUGGUGCUGUUGGCAGCGAGCCAAAAGCUGUCUGCCCUUCAUUUGGCCUCACUUUCCUUGCUCUGAAGGAUUUAACUCUUCCCCAUUAUAACCCCUUACCUGGACUGGCGGAAUUAAAAAAAAAAAAAAAAAAGGAGGCAGUCUCUUCUCUGUGUGAGCGCUGUGUGCACGUGUGCGGGCUUCCAAGCGGAGGCCAUAAGUUGGUGGCAUUUGUCUCCCCAGAUCCCUGUUCUCUACAUUUACAGAGGCAGGGUUUCUCGAUGAACCUGGAGCUUCUAAUUUGGCUUGGCUAGCUAGCUAGCUUGUCCUGGGGAUCUAGUUUCUGCAAAUGCCGGGGUUUCAGGAAGUCCAACAGAGCAGCAAGGCUUUUUGUGUGGGCACUGGGAAUACAAACUCUGGGCCUUGUGCUUGCAAGGCAGAGUGCCUUAUCAGCCGUGCCAUCUGCCCAGGCUGGGAAAUUAAAAAUUUUAAUGAGGGCUAAUACAUUAGGUAUACAGAGAAGUGACUAUGAAUCAAAUCCUCACCAGCCACAAAGCUUUAGCACCAUAUGAACGUGUCCCCCCUACCCCCCCCAGAGGUACUAGGGACAGCCAUGUGUUUUACCAGAGUCAUGUCCUUCCCUGCCUGGAGAAGAGGUUGCUCAGACUGCCAUGGGUUUCCUCUCCCUCUCCCUGUCCUCUCUCUCUACUCCCUCUCCCUCCCCCCUCUAGUAGCCAGGGCUACCCUAAGACCCUACCUCGUUUGUUUUCCAAGACCAGGGUUUCUCAUUGUAACCCUGGCUCUCCUGGAACUCAUGUAGACCAGGUUGGCCUUGAACUCAGAGAGCCAACUUCCUCUGCCUCCCGAGUACUGGGAUUAAGGCGCGGGCCACCACACUUCUGCUCCUCGAGACCCUGUGUGAUGUGGGGGUACACAUCCCAAGAUUUGUGUGUGGAGGUUAGAGAACAGCUCGUGGGAGUAGGUUCCUUUCUUCUACCAUUGUAGCUCCAAAGGAUCACAGGCUUGGUGACAAGUGCUCUCCCCCGCUGAGCAGCUUGCUGGCUCUGGAAUUAAUCCAUCUCCCUGGAUGCUCAGAUUAUAGGACAGUGCUAACCUGGUAAGCCUCCUUUCUUUCCAUGUACACUAAGAUACACAUUGUAACAUAAAAGAUAGUUUUAACCAUGAGCAUGCAGCACCACA